UUUCAAGCAACCAAUACCCCCCAAAAUCUCAAUCCAUCCUUCUGCUGCCAAAGUUUCAAAUUCCAAACCCUCCCAAUCACUUCACUUAAAAUUUCCCCAUAUAACCCUUCAACACAGACCCAACCUGAAACCAAUAUGACGACGCUGCAGAAAUUCAAGCUAUUGGCGACACAAUGCGGCGUCACCCAAAGCCCAACACGAAGUCCAAGGACGAGCCCCCUCCUCAACUUCCGCCGCCCUAAAACCACACUCCGAAUGCUUCUUACCAGAAGCGGUAGUCGCAAAUCGUCAAGUUGCCGGGAAAUGGCGUAUCCACAGAGUUUCUUCGGCAUUUCAGGUGAGAAAAAGAAGGGCGACAAGGAUUUAAGUGGUCGCACUUUGAAGGAUUUAUUCGUAUCAUCAGGAGGAGGAUACGAGGAGGACCAAGGAAAAGUGGUGAAGGAGGAAUUUGGCGGGAAGGGCGACGUUCAAGUGGCGACGAAACUUGGCGGUGUGAAUGGGUUGGGAGGUGAAGCGGGAUCGGCACGGGCAGGGUGGAUUGGGUUUAGGCAUAGGAUGGUGUUGAGGAAGGCUUGGCGUCCCAUGCUUCAGACCAUCCCUGAGUAAUCAUAUUAUUUGGGAAUAAAAGAAUGCAGAUGGGAUUGGGAAUCUGAAAAGAAGGAAAUAAAAUUGGGAGCAAUAUUGUCGCCGGAAUUCAUGAGUUUGAUAUGGGUUGGUUCUACGUGAUUAUUCAUCCAACAAUCAUAUUUUAAUUAUUGAAAUUCUCAUAAUGGGUCGAUUUUUUCUCA